AACGAACGCUGGCGGCAGGCUUAACACAUGCAAGUCGAGCGCCCCGCAAGGGGAGCGGCAGACGGGUGAGUAACGCGUGGGAAUCUACCCAUCUCUACGGAAUAACGCAUGGAAACGUGUGCUAAUACCGUAUACGUCCUUCGGGAGAAAGAUUUAUCGGAGAUGGAUGAGCCCGCGUUGGAUUAGCUAGUUGGUGGGGUAAAGGCCUACCAAGGCGACGAUCCAUAGCUGGUCUGAGAGGAUGAUCAGCCACACUGGGACUGAGACACGGCCCAGAGUCCUACGGGAGGCAGGAGUGAGGAAUAUUGGACAAUGGGCGCAAUCCUGAUCCAGCCAUGCCGCGUGAGUGAUGAAGGCCCUAGGGUUGUAAAGCUCUUUCACCGGUGAAGAUAAUGACGGUAACCGGAGAAGAAGCCCCGGCUAACUUCGUGCCAGCAGCCGCAGUAACAC
rnacentral:rRNA from 1 species